UGCGUAGGCGGCUUGGUAAGUUUGGUGUGAAAUCUCCCGGCUUAACUGGGAGGGUGCGCCGAAAACUGCCGGGCUAGAGUGUGGGAGAGGAAAGUGGAAUUCCUGGUGUAGCGGUGAAAUGCGUAGAUAUCAGGAGGAACACCUGCGGUGUAGACGGCUUUCUGGACCACUACUGACGCUGAGGCACGAAAGCGUGGGGAGCAAACAGGAUUAGAUACCCUGGUAGUCCACGCCCUAAACGAUGCGGACUUGGUGUUGGCCCUUCAUUGGGUCAGUGCCGCAGCUAACGCGGUAAGUCCGCCGCCUGGGGAGUACGGUCGCAAGGCUGAA
rnacentral:rRNA from 1 species